GUGCCUCCCUGCAAUCUCCAAUUAUCAUUGUCUUGCACUAGCUGAUGCGAACUUGUGCUUUCAAAUUUCAUCAUCUCACCUAGUUUUCUGUCAUCCUUGACAGAAUUUCCCUUCCCUUGGCACCCAUUCUGCAACUCUAAUGGUCCACUGGUUAUCUACCCUAUGCAUUACAUGGCCUGCCCAGCUUCAUUUUUUCCUCUUAAUGUCUACUAGAAUAUCGACUAUCCACACUGCUCUCUUCCUGUCUCAUUGUCAUUUAUCAUUGCAUUGCUCUUUGUACGGCCCUUAACAUGUUCUCGAGAUUCUUCGUUCACCUCCAGGCUUAUGUGCCAUACUGCAUGCUUAGAAGAACAACGUGUCUACCAAGUUGACAUUUUCAAAUUCCCUGAUUUUUUCAGAUUUCACAGAACUUUGUUUUAUGUCAAGAUGGGCUGACACCAUGUCACCUGAUGCUGUCACUCUCUGGUCAGCUCUUUGCAAGGACAUGGUGCUAUGCAGCCUUCAGCUGCUGAAGAGGCAAGAUUACAUUUCUGAAUUACACUACACGAUUACAUUACAUUUGAAGAGGCAAGAUUACAUAUUUAAGUGUUUCAAUGUUUGGUGUCAUUGAUAAACCGUCAUAGGGAUUAUCUGCACCAGUGUUAUCAGAUCGCUUUCAAGAUAUGGGCCCGCUCUUCAAGGCAAAGCGACGAGAACAUGGAGUUCAAGAUAUGGUCCACGCGGCGCAUAAUGGUUUGACGUGGAUGGAUAAGGCACUAAAGAGCAGUAUCAGCUUAUAAUGA
rnacentral:lncRNA from 1 species